rnacentral:rRNA from 1 species
AUGGUACACAUGUGCCAGCAUCAAGGAGCUGUGCCGCCACCACCGCUGUAUCAGAUUCCGCCAGCGGUUGUAGUGCGGACGGAGCCAUCCAGAUCCUGGCCGUCUCAGACGACGGAGCCAUUCAGACCCCGACCAUCUCAACGGGCAGAGCGGACGGAGCCAUCCAGACCCGGGCUGUUAGCGGACGGAGCCAUCCAGACCCCGGCUAUCUCAGCAAAGCAACCCACGGCCGUCGUCAGGAAUUGGAAGAAGAGAUUCAGAGGCGUGUCUGGACCUGAUGAAAGGAUUAUACCGAGCAAAAGCAACUAUCUGCAAGUCUGUAUCGCAAGAGCAACCGAUAACAGCAAUAACAAUCUAUUUGCCCCGGUUAAAGGUUUUACAUUUGACUCGUGUAAAGAAGCAUAUGAGAUGUACAAUAUUUUUUCAUGGGAGAACGGUUUUGGGAUCCGGCAUGGCAAGACCAGGAUAAAUGAGGCGAAGUACAAAACUAUGCAUGAGAUAGUAUGCCAAUGCCAUGGCAAGAGUGAGAAAGAGAAUUCCGAAACAUGCAGAACAGGAUGCAAAGCGAGGAUUCGUCUACUGCGCACUAGAGACCAUGGGUGGUACGUCACUAUGUUUGACAAUGUACACAACCACCCGCUAUCAGCUGGGCAUGAGGAGACGCGUCAAUGGAAUUCUCAUAGUUACAUAGAUCCUUUGAUGACGGACUUCAUCCGGAAUCUCCGAGAGAACAAUAUCAGCCUCAGCAAGGUUUAA